UACGUAGGGGGCAAGCGUUGUCCGGAUUUAUUGGGCGUAAAGAGCGUGUAGGCGGCUUUACAGGUCCGUUGUGAAAACUCGAGGCUCAACCUCGAGACGCCGGUGGAAACCGUAAAGCUAGAGUCCGGAAGAGGAGAGUGGAAUUCCGUGGUGUAGCGGUGAAAUGCGCAGAUAAUCAGGAGGAACACCAGAGGCGAAGGCGGCGAACUGGACAGUAACUGACACUCAACUGCGAAAGCGUGGGGAGCAAACAGG
rnacentral:rRNA from 1 species